UACCUCUUGUAUGGUCGACACCCCCGUCUUCCAGUAGACCUUCUCUUUGGUCUCAUGGCAGAAAACAACACUGAGACACCACAUGGGUAUGCAGAAAGAUGGAAAGGGAAGAUGACAGAAGCAUACCGCAUUGCAAAUGCAAACAGUCAACAGUCAAGUUCCAAAGGCAAAGCAAACUAUGACAAAAGAUGCAAAGGAGUAAUGCUACAGGCAGGAGACCGAGUACUGGUACGAAACCUGAGUGAAAGGGGGGGCCCUGGCAAACUGAGACCCUACUGGGAGCAAACGGUCUACAUUGUGAGGGAGCAAGUGGGCGACAACCCCGUCUACAAAGUGAGUCCAGAGGCGGGAGGCCGUCCUGUUCGCACCUUGCACAGGAACUUGUUGUUACAAGUGAAUGACUUGCCAGUGGACAUUAUCCAAAGUCAGGCUACAAGACCACACAAGAGAAACAAGAAGUCCACCGGAAGACCAAUGACACCAGAGCCAAACCCUGACACAACUGACUCGGAAGAGGGUGAGCCAUUGUACUGGCUUGGUGUACCCAGAUACCCUCGAGGGGGCCAUUCUCCAGUCACACCAGUUCCAAGUGGAGUGCAACGGAGCUCCGGUCCAAGUGAACUAGGACAAGUCUUAAGGGCUCGUGUCCAACCUAGAAAAAAAAGUGCCAUGGUUCCGGAAGAGGAUCUAAUUGUGUUAAGAGACCCAGACCUACCUCAACUAAGUGACGAUCAGGAGAUGCCUCAGGUUCAAGAAGAAGUUGACGUCACUGAGUCCAGUCCUGAUCCAGUAGAGCUUCCUGACCCAGAGCCAGAACCCAGGGUGGAGCCAGGGGAUGACAUCCAUCCAGAGCCACCAUCUCAUCUUAGGCAGUCCAGCAGGCAGAGACGUCCCACCACAUUCUUCACCUACCCAUCCUUGGGUCAACCAGCCUAUCAGGCUCAUCCUGCGGUGAACACCAUCAACGUCCAACCUUCGCCAUAUCCUUCCCUCUACUACCCUCUUCUCUACUCCCAACCCCCCUACCCCUUUCCCCUCACCCUUAGCCCUUACUUACCUGUUUCAUAUGUUGUUCCUUGCUAUUGAAUCGAACAGAAAUCUCAGGAAGAAGAAUGCCUGAAGUCUAAGGACACCUGGGCAAGAGGAAUAUUCCAGGGACUUCUGUAAAGAGACUUUGUUAGUUUAGAGGGUUUUUUUUAUAAUUCAAGUUAAGUGUCAGGAGCCACUUUUGCUGUUGGGGAGCGUGUGGUGAACACAAAUGUGCUACCACAUUUUGGGAAAUUUUAUUAUUUUUAAGAAAAACAUAUGUCAGCAAUUAAGACAAUUAUUAUUUUACAUUCAUUACGUGUAGUCCAUAACAAUUGAGGAGAGUAAAAGUGAGAAAUAAUAAGCGGAACUGUUGACACUGUAGUCGUUCGCCCGCGGUUGCCUAGAGCGGACCAACUUCCUGUCCUCUCAGAUGCAAUUCGGGAAAAGACACGAGUGCUCCUGUGAUUCUUUCUCUGAGACUCUACCUUUAUUUUUACAGAUUUGUAUUCUUUUUGUUAUUGUGGUCUUCACAUCUG
ensembl:lncRNA